rnacentral:lncRNA from 1 species
GGGAGAGCAAAGGAGAGACAUGAGAACCGAAGAAAGAAAGAGUUUAUGCACAAUAGACACUCAUUUGGACUUUAUCUUCCAGAUGAUAUGAAAACUAUUUGAUGGAAACAGAGUAAUACAGUUCGUUGUUGCUAAAUAUACAAGACAAGAUAGCCGUUGUUGGUAGUACAUAGUACAAGAGAGUCCAUUCAUGGACAUUCG